UGGGGAAUAUUGCACAAUGGGCGAAAGCCUGAUGCAGCGACGCCGCGUGAGGGAUGGAGGCCUUCGGGUUGUAAACCUCUUUCGCUCAUGGUCAAGCCGCAACUGUGGUUGUGGUGAGGGUAGUGGGUAAAGAAGCACCGGCUAACUACGUGCCAGCAGCCGCGGUAAUACGUAGGGUGCGAGCGUUGUCCGGAAUUAUUGGGCGUAAAGGGCUUGUAGGCGGUUUGUCGCGUCUGCCGUGAAAUCCUCUGGCUUAACUGGGGGCGUGCGGUGGGUACGGGCAGGCUUGAGUGCGGUAGGGGAGACUGGAACUCCUGGUGUAGCGGUGGAAUGCGCAGAUAUCAGGAAGAACACCGGUGGCGAAGGCGGGUCUCUGGGCCGUUACUGACGCUGAGGAGCGAAAGCGUGGGGAGCGAACAGGAUUAGAUACCCUGGUAGUCCACGCUGUAAACGUUGGGCACUAGGUGUGGGGGCCACCCGUGGUUUCUGCGCCGUAGCUAACGCUUUAAGUGCCCCGCCUGGGAGUACGGCCGCAG
rnacentral:rRNA from 1 species